GGAAGGUGCACUUGGACAAAA
rnacentral:rRNA from 1 species